AGAUUGAACGCUGGCGGCAUGCCUUACACAUGCAAGUCGAACGGCAGCACGGGAGCAAUCCUGGUGGCGAGUGGCGAACGGGUGAGUAAUACAUCGGAACGUGCCCAAUCGUGGGGGAUAACGCAGCGAAAGCUGUGCUAAUACCGCAUAAGAUCUACGGAUGAAAGCAGGGGAUCGCAAGACCUUGCGCGAAUGGAGCGGCCGAUGGCAGAUUAGGUAGUUGGUGAGGUAAAGGCUCACCAAGCCUUCGAUCUGUAGCUGGUCUGAGGGGACGACCAGCCACACUGGGACUGAGACACGGCCCAGACCUCCUACGGGAGGCAGCGAGGUGGGGUAAUUUUAGGUACAAGUAGGGGCGAAAGCCUAGAUCCACGCCGAUCGCCGCGUGCGAAGGAUGGAAGGUCCGUUCGGUUACGUAAACGUGUCGUUUUUGGUAACGGAAACGUAAAAGUACUU
rnacentral:rRNA from 1 species